rnacentral:tRNA from 1 species
GGCGGCAUGGCCGAGUGUAAGGCGGGGGACUGCAAAUCCUUUU